UAACCAUCAGAGUUUGGACCUGCCACGAC
rnacentral:sRNA from 1 species